GAAAAAGCUUUCAUUUAAAAUUAAACAGCAAGAAAAAAAAUAUUACAACCCAUAGGUUAAGUUUCUAAUAACCCAGAUCAGUUAAUAACCCAAACCCACUUUAUGAAACCCAAGCGAUUCUUUGCCCAUACAGAAGAAGUUGUGGCCCAGUUAACAGAACGUUUUUGGAGAGAACGAGUAGUUGCCUUGGGAGUAUCCACCAUCGAUGGCUUGGAGCCAAACUUGCAUGAGUGAAGAAGAUGAGGCUGGAUUGGAAUCUCUGACACUCAAAAUCUUCUCUUUCAUCUGCCUAUCUAUCAAAGGAAACAUACUGGCAACAGUACGAGUAGUAUUCCGGUGUAGUCGACAGUUUCUCUCCAUCCACGUCCAGUAUAUAGUUGCUUGCCAAUACAAAAGAGUUAAUCCAAGGCGACCUGCGAAGAUAGACCAAAGUUCCCAAGAGAAAGCACAUUCGAAAUAAAGAUGAUCUCUACUCUCCAUAUGAUUAGCGCACAGGAGACAAUCUGUAGCAGUUGCAAGACCCCAAUGAUGAAGCCAAAAACCCAUGCUUUGGUAUCCCUCCUACAAUCCAGAUUGCCUUUGUCCAAGAUCAGGGUCAGAUGGUUGUGAGGAAAGCGAUUAUGUUCACCUGAUCUUCAGAGCGUGGAGCAGGAAGAAGCCAUCUACCAUCGCGGUACAAGUCAGCUAUCGUUGCAUUCCUUCGUAUACCCAGUCUCGUGUCUCUCCCUCUAGUAAUUAACUCCAUGAUUGAUCCUCCUGGAUACCAGUUGUCCGUCCAGAACCUGCAGCUCUCACCAUUCUGAAUCCUCAUCUUAAUCCAGGUUUUGUGUGUGUUGUGAUGGUUGUUCUCCUAGAAGUCAAUGCAAUAGUGCAAUUUAAUCGAUGAGACACCCUCACAGAAGCCUCCCUUGGCGUCGCAACAUAGACAUGUGCGGUUGCAGCUUUUUCCAGCGUUAAUUCGGACCUACUCAUGCAAUGAACUAUUUUAUACCAUUUGCUUUCAUCUUACAUUAGUCUUAUGUAUUAACCAAUGAUGUUUCUUUUACUUUUUCUGACAUGAUGCUUCUCUCUAUCCUGUAAACUUUGUUU